rnacentral:rRNA from 1 species
CACGUAGGGUGCGAGCGUUGUCCGGAAUUAUUGGGCGUAAAGAGCUCGUAGGCGGUGUGUCACGUCGGCCUGAAAACCUGCAGCUUAACUGUGGGCGUGCGGUCGAUACGGGCAUCACUGGAGUUCGGCAGGGGAGACUGGAAUUCCUGGUGUAGCGGUGAAAUGCGCAGAUAUCAGGAGGAACACCGAUGGCGAAGGCAGGUCUCUGGGCAUUUAACUGACGCUGAGGAGCGAAAAGCAUGGGGGAGCGAACAGG